GUGCUCAUUUUGAUAACACAUAUACCAAAACUUGGAAUGAUACAGAGAUUAGCAUGGCUCCUAUACAAGGAUGAUGCACAAAUUCAUGAGACGCAUCAUAUUUAU
ensembl:snRNA U6 U6 spliceosomal RNA